GACGAACGCUGGCGGCGUGCUUAACACAUGCAAGUCGAACGGAAAGGCCCUGCUUUUGUGGGGUGCUCGAGUGGCGAACGGGUGAGUAACACGUGAGUAACCUGCCCUUGACUUUGGGAUAACUUCAGGAAACUGGGGCUAAUACCGGAUAGGAGCUCCUGCUGCAUGGUGGGGGUUGGAAAGUUUCGGCGGUUGGGGAUGGACUCGCGGCUUAUCAGCUUGUUGGUGGGGUAGUGGCUUACCAAGGCUUUGACGGGUAGCCGGCCUGAGAGGGUGACCGGCCACAUGGGAACGGGGUUACGGCCCAGACUCCUACGGGGGGAAGAAGUGGGGAAUAUUGCACAAGGGGCGGAGGCCGGAUGCAGCAACGCCGCGUGCGGGAUGACGGCCUUCGGGUGGUAAACCGCUUUCGCCUGUGACGAAGCGUGAGUGACGGUAAUGGGAAAAGAAGCACCGGCUAACUACGU
rnacentral:rRNA from 1 species